UACGUAGGUGGCGAGCGUUAUCCGGAUUUACUGGGUGUAAAGGGCGUGUAGGCGGGUUAGUAAGUUGGAAGUGAAAUACCGCAGCUUAACUGCGGGGCUGCUUUCAAAACUACUGAUCUUGAGUGUCGGAGAGGAAAGCGGAAUUCCUAGUGUAGCGGUGAAAUGCGUAGAUAUUAGGAGGAACACCAGUGGCGAAGGCGGCUUUCUGGACGAUAACUGACGCUGAGGCGCGAAAGCGUGGGGAGCAAACAGG
rnacentral:rRNA from 1 species